AGAGCACACGGAGGAUGCCUAGGCGCUAGGAGCCGAAGAAGGACGUGGCGAACAACGAUACUGCCUCGGGGAGCUGUAAGCAAGCUUCGAUCCGGGGAUGUCCGAAUGGGGAAACCCGGCUGAUGUCAUAGUCAGUCACUACUGCCUGAAUACAUAGGGCAGUCAGAGGCAUACCCAGGGAACUGAAACAUCUAAGUACCUGGAGGAAGAGAAAACAAGAGUGAUUCCGUCAGUAGCGGCGAGCGAACGCGGAACAGCCUAAACCAGAGAGCUUGCUCUCUGGGGUUGUGGGACGUUCCACAUGGAGUUACAAAGGAAUACAUUAGAUGAAGAGGUCUGGAAAGGCCCGCCAGAGGNCACGAGAGUUUACAACACCCGAAGUCGGUGGGGUAACCCUUUAGGGAGCCAGCCGCCGAAGGUGGGGUAGAUGAUUGGGGUGAAGUCGUAACAAGGUAGCCGUAUCGGAAGGUGCGGCUGGAUCACCUCCUUUCUAUGGAGAAUCGUUCUCUGCAACGAGAACAUUCAAAUACAGGCUGACCGCAAGGUCGCCGAUCAACUCACUCGUUGGUCAGUUUUGAGAGGUCAAUCCUUUCAUAUANGUUGGCUUAGAAGCAGCCACCAUUUAAAGAGUGCGUAAUAGCUCACUGGUCGAGUGACUCUGCGCCGAAAAUGUAACGGGGCUAAACACACCACCGAAGCUAUGGCUUGAUGCAUUGCAUCAGGGGUAGGGGAGCGUUGUGUACAGCGUUGAAGGUGUACCGUGAGGAGCGCUGGAGCGUAUACAAGUGAGAAUGCCGGUAUGAGUAACGAAAAGAUCAGUGAGAAUCUGAUCCGCCGAAAGCCCAAGGUUUCCUGAGGAAGGUUCGUCCGCUCAGGGUAAGUCGGGACCUAAGGUGAGGCCGAAAGGCGUAAUCGAAGGACAACAGGUUGAAAUUCCUGUACCACCGUAAACCGUUAUGAACGAUGGGGUGACGCAGGAGGGUAGUGACGCGGACUGAUGGAUGUCCGUCCAAGCAGUGAGGCUGAUGUGUAGGAAAAUCCGCAUAUCGAUAAGGCCAGGCUGUGAUGGGGAGUGAAAAUUGUAGUAGCGAAGGUCAUGAUCUCACACUGCCAAGAAAAGCCUCUAGUCAGGUGAAGGUGCCCGUACCGCAAACCGACACAGGUAGGCGAGAAGAGAAUUCUAAGGCGCGCGGAAGAACUCUCGUUAAGGAACUCGGCAAAAUGACCCCGUAACUUCGGGAGAAGGGGUGCCCCGGUAGUGUGAAUAGCACGAGGGGGCCGCAGUGAAUAGGCCCAAGCGACUGUUUAACAAAAACACAGGUCUGUGCGAAGCCGUAAGGCGAAGUAUACGGGCUGACGCCUGCCCGGUGCUGGAAGGUUAAGGGGAGUGGUUAGGAGGCAACUCCGAAGCUAUGAACCGAAGCCCCAGUAAACGGCGGCCGUAACUAUAACGGUCCUAAGGUAGCGAAAUUCCUUGUCAGGUAAAUUCUGACCCGCACGAAUGGCGUAACGAUUUGGGCGCUGUCUCAACGAGAGAUCCGGUGAAAUUUUAAUACCUGUGAAGAUGCAGGUUACCCGCGACAAGACGGAAAGACCCCAUGGAGCUUUACUGCAGCUUGAUAUUGGAUUUGGGUACGAUCUGUACAGGAUAGGUGGGAGCCUAGGAAACAGGAGCGCAAGCUUCUGUGGAGGCGCCGUUGGGAUACCACCCUGAUCGUAUCUAGGUUCUAACCUAGUGCCGUGAUCCGGUACGGGGACAGUGUCUGGUAGGCAGUUUGACUGGGGCGGUCGCCUCCUAAAGAGUAACGGAGGCGCCCCAAGGUUCCCUCAGAAUGGUUGGAAAUCAUUCGAAGAGUGCAAAGGCAGAAGGGAGCUUGACUGCGAGACCUACAAGUCGAGCAGGGACGAAAGUCGGGCUUAGUGAUCCGGUGGUACCGCAUGGAAGGGCCAUCGCUCAACGGAUAAAAGCUACCCUGGGGAUAACAGGCUUAUCUCCCCCAAGAGUCCACAUCGACGGGGAGGUUUGGCACCUCGAUGUCGGCUCAUCGCAUCCUGGGGCUGAAGUAGGUCCCAAGGGUUGGGCUGUUCGCCCAUUAAAGCGGUACGCGAGCUGGGUUCAGAACGUCGUGAGACAGUUCGGUCCCUAUCUGUCGUGGGCGUAGGAAAUUUGAGAGGAGCUGUCCUUAGUACGAGAGGACCGGGAUGGACGUACCGCUGGUGUACCAGUUGUUCCGCCAGGAGCACAGCUGGGUAGCUACGUACGGACGGGAUAAGCGCUGAAAGCAUCUAAGCGUGAAGCCCCCCUCAAGAUGAGAUUUCCCAAUUUAGUAAGACCCCUUGA
rnacentral:rRNA from 1 species